CGGCUCAAAGAGGGGGACCUUCGGGCCUCUCGCGUCAGGAUAUGCCCAGGUGGGAUUAGCUAGUUGGUGAGGUAAGGGCUCACCAAGGCGACGAUCCCUAGCUGGUCUGAGAGGAUGAUCAGCCACACUGGAACUGAGACACCGUCCAGACUCCUACGGGAGGCAACAGUGGGGAAUAUUGCCCAAUGGGCGCAAGCCUGAUGCAGCCAUGCCGCGUGUAUGAAGAAGGCCUUCGGGUUGUAAAGUACUUUCAGCAGUGAGGAAGGAGGUAUCGUUAAUAGCGGUAUCUUUUGACGUUAGCUGCCGAAGAAGCACCGGCUAACUCCGUGCCAGCAGCCGCGGUAAUACAGAGGGUGCGAGCGUUAAUCGGAAUUACUGGGCGUAAAGCGCAUGCAGGUGGUUUGUUAAGUCAGAUGUGAAAGCCCGGGGGCUCAACCUCGGAAUUGCAUUUGAAACUGGCAGGCUAGAGGUACUGUAGAGGGGGGGUAGAAUUUCAGGAUGUAGCCGGUGAAAUCGCGUAAGAGAUCCUGAAGGGAAUACCGGUGGCCGACAUGGCGGCCCCCCCUGGGACAGACUACCUGACACUCACGAUGCGGAAA
rnacentral:rRNA from 1 species